rnacentral:rRNA from 1 species
UGCCAGCCGCCGCGGUAAUACGGAGGGUGCAAGCGUUAAUCGGAAUUACUGGGCGCAAAGCGCGCGUAGGUGGUUUGGUCAGUUGGAUGUGAAAGCCCCGGGCUUAACCUGGGAACUGCAUUCAAUACUGCCAGACUAGAGUACGAGAGAGGGGGGUAGAAUUUCUAGUGUAGCGGUGAAAUGCGUAGAUAUUAGAAGGAAUACCAGUGGCGAAGGCGGCUCACUGGCUCGAUACUGACGCUGAGGUACGAAAGUGUGGGGAGCAAACAGGAUUAGAUA